UUUGAUGAAAUCAAUGUGAGUUCAACAUUUUGAAAAUGGAUCUUACUUAAAGUGGUUGGACCUACGUUGAUUUCAUUUAU
rnacentral:pre_miRNA from 1 species